UGGCUCAGGAUGAACGCUAGCGACAGGCUUAACACAUGCAAGUCGAGGGGCAGCGCGAGGGUAGCAAUACCCUUGGCGGCGACCGGCGCACUGGUGAGUAACACGUAUGCGACCUGCCCCGGACAGGGGGAUAAACCCGGGAAACUGGGCCUAAUACCCCAGUAUGCCCUGAGGGUGCAUGCCCUUUGGGUGAAAGAUCCGUCGGUCCGGGAUGGGCAUGCGGCGCAUUAGCUAGUUGGCGGGGCAACGGCCCACCAAGGCGACGAUGCGUAGGGGUUCUGAGAGGAAGGUCCCCCACACUGGUACUGAGACACGGACCAGACUCCUACGGGAGGCAGCAGUGAGGAAUAUUGGUCAAUGGUUGGGAGACUGAACCAGCCCAAGUCGCGUGCGGGAAGAAGGCCCUCCGGGUCGUAAACCGCUUUAGCCGGGGAGUAACGUGCGGAACGUGUUCCGUAGCGAGAGUACCCGGAGAAUAAGCAUCGGCUAACUCCGUGCCAGCCGCAGC
rnacentral:rRNA from 1 species